AUUUGAAAUUCAUGAAUAUAUUAUUAAAAUGUUAUUAAAAUAGACUUUAGUUCUAUUUUAUACCACGUCUGGCUGCUGCACAAUGCUUGUCAAUGAUACAAAGCUCUGAUUGGAUAGGAAAUGGAAUUCUCCCGAAAGGUUCUGAGUGGGGCUCAUAACUUACUAGAUCUUGCCCCACACAAGUAUAGCCCAAGGGUUGAGAAUCACCAUUCUAUGACCAACAGGAUUCCUCAGUGGCUCAGUGGUAAAGAAUCCACCUGCAAUGAGGAGCCGCUGAGACGCUGGUUCAUUCUCAGGGUCAGGAAGAUCCCCUGGAGGAGGGCAUGGCAACCCACUCCAGAAUUCUUGCAUGGAGAAUCCCAUGGACAGAGGAACUUAGGGGGCUAUAGUUCAUGGGGUUGCAAAGAGUUGGACAUGACUGAAGCAACUUAGCAUACCCUCAUGCACUCUGUGACCAAUAGCCCACCUUUUUUGCUCCAGACUGGAAACUGUUUUUCAAUAUCUCUUAUUCAGACCGCAAAUUCAGACUAUAACAUGGCAAAAGUCUAGAUUUCUAUUUGACACAGGAAUCACUUCCUGCUUUGUCCUGAAGGGUAGCUCCCAAGUCAGAGGAAGAAAGAGGUUAAGCAGAUGAGACAGAAAAUCUCAUCCAAUGACUGUCACAUGACUUGGCAACUGGGGCCAGGGUUGCGGUAAGGAAAAGGCAAGGCAGUUUUUAGACUGGGUUUAUCAGCUGUGCAGAAUCCACUAAUAUUUGGCAAAGGAACCUAUCUGAACGUGGAACCAAAAACAACUCCAAAACCAACGGAAUCUGAAAACACCACAGAAAUUCAAGUUCCAGCGACCUGCUAUGAGCCCCAAGUGCAACCUGGGAAGGUGAACAUGAUGUCCCUCUCGGUGCUGGGGCUCCGAAUGCUGUUUGCCAAGAGUGUCGCCGUCAAUUUUCUCUUUACUGCCAAGUUAUUUUUCUUUUAAGGCUGACUGGCAUGAGAAGGCUGCAUUCCCUGAAAGAAACCAAAAGCCUACAGAGAAGCUAUCUCCUAGGCUUUCAACUUUUUGGUGAUUCAAGUUGACCCAUCCCAGCCUUGCUUAAAUGGCUGCUCCCCAAACUGGUUUUCCUUUAAAGGCAACAAACCCAGCUUAUCCUUCAGCCUGAUGAAAGACAAAAGUCCUGGGAAGUGGGGGCUUAUGGCCCCAACUGUUUUAUAUGCUGCUUUAUAAAGGGAUAAGAGAUAUGAAGGUAUAUAGGACUCAUUUUUUCCCCUAUGACUGACAUACUUUGAAAGUGGUCUUUUGUUUCUUUGACUUUCUUUGCCUCCAGAACUAGAAAGUGGGAUCCAUCCGGUUCCCAGCUCCAUCCUGCAAGAGGCAAAAUAGAUCCUGGGGAAAGGAGAGCGGGUGUCCUUCUACCUAAAUAUAAAAGCCUCUGCUCAACCCAGCACUAGAUUUCCCCAAACUAGCAUUCUCGUCCACAAAGGCACUUUCUGCUUUCCCUAGUACUUGAGAAACAAAACAACACUUGAUUCCCUAAUACUCUCUGUGUAGGCAAUGGGGUUUCUAGAGUCUCAUCUAAACACUCUCAGAGCGAUUAGCAGAGAUCAGAGUAAAAUGCAGAGGAAAUGUGCUUUCCUCAACUUAACAAACGUGAAUUAUUGCAAGUUCCAGGCACUGUGCUGAGAGUGCAAAAAUAAGUAAGACAUGGGUCUUGCUUUCAAGCAACUCACUGUGCAAGUAUUUUUGGAGGGAGGGAUAGGAGUGAGUCCCCAGUAUUUCCCCGUAAAACCAGAGUCUUCCUGACCCCUUGCCCGCCCAUCUGUGCAUGGGGAAUCUGAGGGCAUUGGAUCUUUGGUGUUGAUGGCUUUCUGCCGUUCUUCUUUGUCUCUGUUGCGUUUAUUAAAGUGCAUUAUAUGUACCUUGCUUCUGGCUUUAUUUAUUGUGGACCACUGCAGGGGGAAGUAGGGGGCUGUGAAUUCACUAAUAGUCAGACAAAAACCAAACUGAGCUCAUAGGUCACACCACAGCUUCUGGGGCCCCUAGCCCAGCCCUGGGUUUCCUGCUGUUGUUGCCGCGGGUGCUACAGCAACAGCAGCGCCCCUCCCCGCAUGUGGCCACUGCCCUCUGUUCCUCUCACCUCAGCAAGGCCAGUUUAAUCCCUUUGCAGGAACACAGGUAGCAGAGGCCUAGAAACCCAACACUGUGGGUGCCUC
ensembl:lncRNA